rnacentral:rRNA from 1 species
UGGGGAAUUUUGGACAAUGGGCGCAAGCCUGAUCCAGCAAUGCCGCGUGUGUGAAGAAGGCCUUCGGGUUGUAAAGCACUUUUAUCAGGAGCGAAACGCUGUCGGCUAAUACCCGGCGGAACUGACGGUACCUGAGGAAUAAGCACCGGCUAACUUCGUGCCAGCAGCCGCGGUAAUACGAAGGGUGCAAGCGUUAAUCGGAAUUACUGGGCGUAAAGCGUGCGUAGGCGGUUUCUUAAGUCUGCUGUGAAAUCCCCGGGCUCAACCUGGGAAUGGCAGUGGAUACUGGGAGGCUAGAGUGUGUCAGAGGGUGGUGGAAUUCCCGGUGUAGCGGUGAAAUGCGUAGAGAUCGGGAGGAACAUCAGUGGCGAAGGCGGCCACCUGGGACAACACUGACGCUGAGGCACGAAAGCGUGGGGAGCAAACAGGAUUAGAUACCCUGGUAGUCCACGCCCUAAAGCGAUGCGAACUGGAUGUUGGUCUCAACUCGGAGAUCAGUGUCGAAGCUAACGCGUUAAGUUCGCCGCCUGGGGAGUACGGUCGCAAGACUGAAACUCAAAGGAAUUGACGGGGUCAUAGCUGUUUCCUG